rnacentral:rRNA from 1 species
UACGUAGGGCGCAAGCGUUGUCCGGAAUUAUUGGGCGUAAAGAGCUCGUAGGCGGUCCGUCACGUCGGCUGUGAAAACCUGGGGCUCAACCCCGGGCCUGCAGCCGAUACGGGCGGACUAGAAUUCGGUAGGGGAGACUGGAAUUCCUGGUGUAGCGGUGAAAUGCGCAGAUAUCAGGAGGAACACCGGUGGCGAAGGCGGGUCUCUGGGCCGAUAUUGACGCUGAGGCGCGAAAGCUAGGGGAGCAAACGGG